CAAUAACCAAACCCUAAUUUUCACUUUUCAUCGUCUUCGCGCCUCACAUUUCAUUUUUAAUCUUCGCGUCUUCUCUUCUCCUUUUUUCCUUCUCCACGCCGCACUUUUUCUUCUCUUUCUCCACGUCGCGCCUCUCAAUUUCUCUUUCCUUCCUCACUUUUCCUUUUUCACCUCUCCAUGUCGCGUUUUGCUUCUCUAGCGGCGUGAGGCCAUGACUGUAGUACGAUUUCGAUGUGAUGAAGGUAGCUGGCUCGUGAAUGCAGGUAGCUGGCUCGUGAAGAAGAUGCAGACAGUGAGGUGUUGAUGGUUGCACGAAUCUAGCUCGUGGUCUGAUUUGGGGCUUUUCUGAUUUAGUACAAAUAGAUAAAUAUAAUAGAUGUUGUUGUGGUUGUCUUUGCCAACAAGCAAGAUCUUCCUAAUACAAUGAAUGCUGCAGAAACAACCGAAGAGCUUGGUCUUCAUUCACUCUGUCAACGUCACUGAGAUUUGAAUGUGAGCAAACCCUUCUCAUUCAAUGGCUUGAUUCAUGGAAAAGAAAUUCUGAGUCAGCUUCGUGAACUAAUAAAGUUGGAGCUGGACUUGUUUCAUGGAGAAGUAGAUGCUGCUGAACCACAAAAGCAAUUUGAAAAUUUGUCUACAGGUUUUGAACGUGACAUAGAGACUAAUAUGUUUCCUUCAUAUGAGAUAAACAAACCUUAUCGCCCAUUGGCAUCAGGGGAUUAUUCUUUUGGAACUGGUCUCAUUCUCAUGUUUGAUUCUGGGAUGAGACAUUUGAAAUUCUUGGAGAAAAAUUGCUUUCAUGUUAAUAAAAGCUCCAUGGUUAUCACUUUUGGUUGAUUUUGAGGACGAAGAAGUAGAUAUUGGCUCCAUGCAUGUAUCAGAAAAGUAUGCACUUUUACUUUGUUCUGAAUACUUAAAGAUUUGAGGUGCAACUUUUGUCGCAAAUGAAUUAAAUGGAGCUGAGCAGUUUUGGUGGUGUAGUUCAAGUAUAAAGCAACAUUUUGAAUGUGUUGUUUUAUGGCUAGAACGAGAAUUGCAGUAGAUAUUGGAUUCUGUGUAUUUGGCGUAGGUUUUGUAUUGAAAUUAAUAAUUGUUAAGAACAUAUCUUAUUUUUAAUUUUUAUUUGAACAAUGUUAUUUCUUAUUGAAUAAUUGAUUGGUUUGAAUUGAACAGUGUUUAAUUAUUUUAUAUAAUAAUAUUUAAUUUUAAUUUCAAA